GCUGCUCUCAUUUUGUAGAGUUCAUCACAUGUGCAUUUGCAACACAUUGGCGGAGGCAAUACGAACUGCAUUUCUCGCUAGCUGGACAAAUCGGAAUGGCAAUGCAUCUUGGAGAACAAGACUCGAAUUGUGAAAGUCUGGUGGUUUUCGCCAAGUUUCACAGAACUUUGUUUUAUGUCAAGAUGGGCUAACACCAUGUCACCUGAUGCUGUCACUCUCUGGUUGGACUGGCAUUUCACGACCUUCGGGAUCAGCCCACAUAUGGGGAGUGCUUAAUGCCUGCUUCACUUCUGCCUCGGGUCCGCCUGAUAUUGCACUAUCUUCGGGAUCGGCCCACCGUAUGAAAAAUUGUUGGUCUAUGCGCGGAUGCGAUCCGCCAGAUCCUAGCCAUAGACAGCUUUGCUGUAAAAAAAGUGGUCUAGCUCACGGCAAAUAGAGUCGAACAUAUUAAAAUGCGAAUAAAAAGAGAUGCUGUUAGGAAUGGCCGUACGGGGUGGCAACGUGCCAGCUAUUUCAGCCCGCUGCACGUGUUCCAAUCCAACCAGACGGGGUGCACUUCAGAGAACUGCGGAUAACCGGCAGCCACGUGGCGCGGGGUCAGCUCAGGAAUGUGGUACUCGGCAGUGCCACCCUUGACGGAGCAGAGUUCUACGAAGCCCUCUGACGUCGGCUCCGG